rnacentral:lncRNA from 1 species
UUUGGGUCAAGAGAGGUAAUGUACUGAGGACAAUUCUGAAGGAAAAAAAAAUGAUUUCUCUUCUGAUUGCCCAGGUUGCAUCUAAAAAUUUUUUAUUUAUCUACAUGAUAAAGGAUCAAAUCCUUACCUGAUUAGAAAUAGAACCAGAGAUCAAAUCUUAAUUUAUCUAGAUUAAACCUUUAUGGAGGCCUAGAUAUGCAGACCCUCUACUUCGCAUGCAGGUCAAACGCCGUAGGAAAGUGGGAUAAACUCCAAUCCAAUUGCCUUCGCAAGCCAACCAAAUGAGGGAGGAGAUGUACUGGUAUGACACCUCAC